CCUANGGGUGGCAGCAGGCGCGAAACCUCUACAAUGCACGAAAGUGUGAUAGGGGAAUCCCAAGUGCUUACACAAAGUGUAGUCUUUUGCCAAGAGUAAAUAUCUUGGCGAAUAAGUGGUGGGCAAGACUGGUGCCAGCAGCCGCGGUAACACCAGCGCCACAAGUGGCAUACGCAUUUAUUGGGCCUAAAGCGUUCGUAGCCGGUCUGUUAAAUCUAUUGUGAAAUCAUAGUGCUUAACUCUAUGGCGUGCAGUAGACACUGACAGACUUGGAACCGGGAGGAGUCAGAGGUAUUCUAGGGGGAGCGGUAAAAUGUUAUAAUCCUUAGAGGACCACCUGUGGCGAAGGCGUCUGACUAGAACGGAUUCGACGGUGAGGGACGAAGGCCAGGGGAGCGAACCGGAUUAGAUACCCCGNUANUC
rnacentral:rRNA from 1 species